rnacentral:hammerhead_ribozyme from 1 species
AUCCAGCUGACGAGUCCUGAAUAGGACGAAAUGCGCAUCCUGGAU